GCCGCCAUAUGUCAGUCGGUUAGAGCGUGGGUCUAAUAAGCCCAAGGUCGCAGGUUCGACCCCUGCUGGCGGC
rnacentral:tRNA from 1 species